GAUGAACGCUGGCGGCGUGCCUAAUACAUGCAAGUCGAGCGAACGGACGAGAAGCUUGCUUCUCUGAUGUUAGCGGCGGACGGGUGAGUAACACGUGGAUAACCUACCUAUAAGACUGGGAUAACUUCGGGAAACCGGAGCUAAUACCGGAUAAUAUUUUGAACCGCAUGGUUCAAAAGUGAAAGACGGUCUUGCUGUCACUUAUAGAUGGAUCCGCGCUGCAUUAGCUAGUUGGUAAGGUAACGGCUUACCAAGGCAACGAUGCAUAGCCGACCUGAUAGGGUGAUCGGCCACACUGGAACUGAGACACGGUCCAGACUCCUACGGGAGGCAGCAGUAGGGAAUCUUCCGCAAUGGGCGAAAGCCUGACGGAGCAACGCCGAGUGAGUGAUGAAGGUCUUCGGAUCGUAAAACUCUGUUAUUAGGGAAGAACAUAUGUGUAAGUAACUGUGCACAUCUUGACGGUACCUAAUCAGAAAGCCACGGCUAACUACGUG
rnacentral:rRNA from 1 species